ACUGCCCGCUUUCUUUCUUCCUAACACAUGCAAGUCGAACGGCAGCACAGUAAGAGCUUGCUCUUACGGGUGGCGAGUGGCGGACGGGUGAGGAAUACAUCGGAAUCUACUUUUUCGUGGGGGAUAACGUAGGGAAACUUACGCUAAUACCGCAUACGACCUACGGGUGAAAGCAGGGGAUCUUCGGACCUUGCGCGAUUGAAUGAGCCGAUGUCGGAUUAGCUAGUUGGCGGGGUAAAGGCCCACCAAGGCGACGAUCCGUAGCUGGUCUGAGAGGAUGAUCAGCCACACUGGAACUGAGACACGGUCCAGACUCCUACGGGAGGCAGCAGUGGGGAAUAUUGGACAAUGGGCGCAAGCCUGAUCCAGCCAUACCGCGUGGGUGAAGAAGGCCUUCGGGUUGUAAAGCCCUUUUGUUGGGAAAGAAAAGCAGCAGGUUAAUACCCCGCUGUUCUGACGGUACCCAAAGAAUAAGCACCGGCUAACUUCGUG
rnacentral:rRNA from 1 species